CCAACCGUGAACUUCAAACGCUCAAUCUUAAUUUACUGCUUUCGCGAAACACGACUAGAGUAAAUUUGUUUUCUCAAAUCAUUGCCGUUAAAUACCACAAGUUUAAUAAUUGUUUAAUAUAUUUCAAAACUGGUGUAAAAGCUGUUAUAAUAGAGUUGUAAAAUCAAAAUCUUCGUUAGCGGUUUGACGUUUGCCGUAAACGUCAAUCUAAAACUGUCUAUUAUUUGUGCAUUGUAGCAUCACUUCGCUGCCCAAAUCCUGGUGGAGUUUAAUUUUUUAUUUUAUUUUUAACUUCACCUGCUCUCUCCCCUUUUAGAGUUAUGGCUCUCGUAUUCGAGUACCAUCGUAUCGCUACUUCACCGUUUUCAAAAAGUUUACAGUUACCUCCUCGUGUUGACCAACUGUAGUUGUAGAUCAUCAAGAAAUUGACAGAGUUCAUUGUAGUCGCCUUGUCAUUUUAAAUUUCCCUUAGGCUUCUUCGCGGCCAAAAC